rnacentral:snoRNA from 1 species
CAGAAGUGAUGAGACGGAGAUAAUUGGGUGUGUUUGGAUGGAGUGUGUGUGUGAGAAGGGGAACUGGGGUGGGGCUGGGGUGGGGCUGUGUGUGGGGUGUGUGGGGGGCUCUCGUGGGGGCACUGAUGGCAGUGCUGAGCCAGGAGUGCAUCUGAGGCGUGUUGGGCACCUCGGGGCCCCUCUGCAACACUGCCAGUGAUUAAAGCCCCAAAAAGCCACCAGGAGAGCCCCAGGCAGCCCAAAGGUCUCCAGGGUCACCAGUGAUCCUCUGCUCUGAUCUCA